rnacentral:snoRNA from 1 species
CCGACUUUUCUCCAGAGAGCAUUGGUAGAUGGUGAUUCCUACACUGAACUAAAGAACUGGGUAAAACCCAUGAUGGACAGUCCUGUUCCACAGUGUUGGAGGUGAAGCUGGGCUUCGAGACCAUUCCUGCAUAGUCCUACAGCUUCCCAAAGCAACGUGUGUGACACCGCAGGGCAUCUGGAUGUAGGGUGAGUGGGGAGAAGAAAAAUUAGGAUCCCCCC